rnacentral:rRNA from 1 species
AACGAACGCUGGCGGCAUGCCUAACACAUGCAAGUCGAACGAGACCUUCGGGUCUAGUGGCGCACGGGUGCGUAACGCGUGGGAACCUGCCCUUAGGUUCGGAAUAACUCCCCGAAAGGGGUGCUAAUACCGGAUAAUGUCUUCGGACCAAAGAUUUAUCGCCUUUGGAUGGGCCCGCGUUGGAUUAGCUAGUUGGUAGGGUAAAAGCCUACCAAGGCGACGAUCCAUAGCUGGUCUGAGAGGAUGAUCAGCCACACUGGGACUGAGACACGGCCCAGACUCCUACAAGAGGCAGCAGUGGGGAAUAUUGGACAAUGGGCGAAAGCCUGAUCCAGCAAUGCCGCGUGAGUGAUGAAGGCCUUAGGGUUGUAAAGCUCUUUUACCCGGGAUGAUAAUGACAGUACCGGGAGAAUAAGCUCCGGCUAACUCCGUG